AAGGAUGCCAAAGCUGCAACAAAGGAGUCGGCUCUCAGUGCAAGAGCAGGGGUUAAGAACUUGGCUCAAGUCUCAGCAUAGUAUGAGCAGGAGAAUAAAAUAUGUUGUCCUGUUUCAAUAGGAAAAGGAGAAAACUU